rnacentral:lncRNA from 1 species
GCAACAGAACCUGAACUCGAUUCCAACAUCUGUUAUAAUAGAUUAAUAACCUGUUGCAACAGGUAAGUCAUCCGUCGUAACAGGUUAAUUAUCUGUUGCAACUGUCACUCAUCUGUUGGAAUCAGCUUCAAAGGUGAUUUAGUUGUAACAUCAAUCCCAACAGGCGCUUCAUCUGUUACAACAGAUAUUCAGGAGCAUAACAUGAAUCCCAAUAGGUAAGAAUUUGUUGUGACUCAUCACUUACCUGUUGCAACAGAUAACACAUCUGUUGGGAUUCAUUCAUGGCACUAUGAAAUCAUUAUCAACUUUUUUUAACAAAUAACUUUAUUUAGGUACCACUAAUGGAGGGAUCAAUAACAAUAGGGGUGGAU